rnacentral:rRNA from 1 species
CGCCUGGGGAGUGCGGCCGCAAGGUUAAAACUCAAAUGAAUUGACGGGGGCCCGCACAAGCGGUGGAGCAUGUGGUUUAAUUCGACGCAACGCGAAGAACCUUACCUGGCCUUGACAUGCAGAGAACUUUCCAGAGAUGGAUUGGUGCCUUCGGGAACUCUGACACAGGUGCUGCAUGGCCGUCGUCAGCUCGUGUCGUGAGAUGUUGGGUUAAGUCCCGUAACGAGCGCAACCCCUAUCCCUAGUUGCUAGCAGUUCGGCUGAGAACUCUAGGGAGACUGCCGGUGACAAACCGGAGGAAGGUGGGGAUGACGUCAGGUCAUCAUGGCCCUUACGGCCAGGGCUACACACGUGCUACAAUGGUGCGUACAGAGGGCUGCAAACCCGCGAGGGGGAGCUAAUCUCACAAAACGCAUCGUAGUCCGGAUCGGAGUCUGCAACUCGACUCCGUGAAGUCGGAAUCGCUAGUAAUCGCGAAUCAGAAUGUCGCGGUGAAUACGUUCCCGGCGCCUUGUACACACCGCCCGUUCACACCAUGGGAGUGGAUUUGCACCAGAAGUGGUUAGUCUAAACCUUCGGGAGGACGAUCACC